rnacentral:rRNA from 1 species
AUUGAACGCUGGCGGCAUGCCUUACACAUGCAAGUCGAACGGCAGCACGGGGGCAACUCUGGUGGCGAGUGGCGAACGGGUGAGUAAUGCAUCGGAACGUGCCCAGUAGUGGGGGAUAACCCGGCGAAAGCCGGGCUAAUACCGCAUACGACCCAAGGGUGAAAGCGGGGGACCGUAAGGCCUCGCGCUAUUGGAGCGGCCGAUGUCUGAUUAGCUAGUUGGCGGGGUAAGAGCCCACCAAGGCGAUGAUCAGUAGCUGGUCUGAGAGGACGACCAGCCACACAGGGACUGAGACACGGCCCAGACUCCUACGGGAGGCAGCAGUGGGGAAUUUUGGACAAUGGGCGCAAGCCUGAUCCAGCCAUGCCGCGUGCGGGAAGAAGGCCUUCGGGUUGUAAACCGCUUUUGGCAGGAACGAAACGGCGCAAGCCAAUACCUUGCGCUAAUGACGGUACCUGCAGAAUAAGCACCGGCUAACUACGUGCCAGCAGCCGCCGUAAUAC